AUAUACUUUCCUUGAAAAAUAUUGUAAAUGUUCGGAGAGUUCGCCUUCCCUGCAGCUCCGAUGUUCCACGGAACUGAGUAUGGGGUGUUGUAGCUGGCCUCACCCACUAUCGUUCCAUAUAUAAAUGAACCCAGUACUUUUGUGCUGCAAGCCUACAGAAUCUUGGAAAAAAAGUUGGUGCCAAAAUGUA